rnacentral:tRNA from 2 species
GGUUCGGUGGUCUAGGGGUAUGAUUCUCGCUUAGGGUGCGAGAGGUCCCGGGUUCAAAUCCCGGCCGGACCC